UGCCGGACCACUAUUUAGCCACCGCACAUUGUUACGAACCUCUGCGAAUCGACCAAAAUUCACUAUGAAAUACUUUGCACACUCAAAUCCAGCGCGUAUAUGGUGAAAUUGCAUAGAAAAAAGCCAAAUAUAGGUCGAAUCGUGUGACUAACUAUAGUAGAUCUCCUUCUUCUUUGGAUGCAUGCUAUCACACGAUUCUCCUUCUAGUUUCCAAUUGUGCAGAUUAUCAGCCGCCUAGACUCCUCAACUUGUCGCAAGGAUAGUCGCUCACCGUCACAGAGCACCUCACAUAGGUCAGUGGCACCGCAACCCUCUUAAGGUCUCGUUUUCUCUCUUCACAUAACUCUCUUUCUCUCUCCAUACACAGAUCUCUCUCUCCUCAUGCACAGGAUCUCCAUCCCAUAGAACGAACGUAACACCCUGCCUAUCACUAUGCUAAAAUGAUCUGAAAACUUUAUUUAUUUGGUUCGUUGGCUGCUUUUAACUUAAAUUAAUUUAUGCUAUUUAACAUUUCUCAAGAUUCGUGAUAUUGAUCUAUUUUUAUUUUUAUUUUAUCUUAAAAUAUUUUAAAUUAUUUUAUUUUAUUUCAAAGAGAAAAAUUAGAAAACAAUUAGGAAACGGAAGAAAACAUGCUUGCGAAAAAAAUCCCGCGAGAAAGUAGUUUGUCAGUAUGGGUGCUGGUCACUGUGCUCGCGAACAUGCUUGUAUAGUAGCCAUAGAGCAUGCGCACAACAUGCACGACCCAUCCGCAUGCCAGCACACACAAGACAUGCGCACAAUGCACAAUUCCCAUCCGUGCGCACAGGAUGGAGUCAGGACCUUCGCGUGUGUCCUGUCGCGCACAAGCGGGUCAUUCACGCAU
rnacentral:lncRNA from 1 species